CGCGCCGCGGCCGCAAGUAUAGCAGGUUUCGUACCUGGUGUUCAUCGCCGUUAAGUCAUCGCUGCUGCCACCCAGGCACGGCUCUCUAUGCCGCCGCUCCCUCCACCCUCUAGGCACUGCCUGCCGUAAGAAUUUUAACUGCGACACUCGCUUCAGCAGGAGAUUUUAUUGGCUGCAGACACACGCAGCAUCUUCUUGCGCUCCUCCUUGAGGUGGAUGGGCAGCUAGCUGGAGAUGACACAGGAUGAUGCGCAUCUUUCGCACGCUGGCUCCAAGAUCUCCGCUGCCAGGAACUGGUGCAAGAACAGGAUUUAUUCGUGGCACAGGAGCAGUUGGUGUCCACUGGGAGUGGAGGCAGAAGAGAGACCAGAGCGGGUAUGUUAGGAGAGAAAGCAGUGACUUCAACAGAAGUGGAGUAAAUAAAGAUGAUCACAGAACUUGGAAGCUGACGAAAUUAAUUUUGGAAAAGAGCUGGCUUGGAGCAUGACAGAAGAAUUCGAUGGAAAGAGUGCUGGGAGCCCAACUCAAGACUGAUGUGUGCUUGGCAGGCAGUCUACCCCCGAUCUCAGUCCUCCAGCCUUUCGGCCUUUUUUCCUUUUUGGAGACAGAAUUGCAUCAUAUGGCAUCCUACACAGUCCUGCCUCAGUCUCUGCAGUGCUGGGAUUGUAGGCCUAUGCCACCUAGCCUUUCUACAAUACAAACAAAUAUGAAAAGAAGAGGGACUUCUUUGGAAAGGAGUACAGGGACUAUGGAAGAGAUGAAAAGAUAAUAUUGUCAGAAAUUAUGCCGCUUUUGAAGAGAUAAACUGAACUCUUGAUUCUGUGAGGUUAUUAAAGAAUAUUAAUUUUCAAAUCACGGUAAAAUCUUGAUUCAGCAACACAUGAGGAUAAUCAUUGUGUCCAUGGAAACCUUGGGAAGCAGUUGAAAGCCUGGUCCCUCUUGCCUGGAGCAUUAACACAACGUGGCUGCAAAGUUAGUCCUUUCCCGCUACCAUCUCCUGAAUACUGGGACUAACUACACGUAUGCACGAACCUGCCCAUCUUUGCCUCUGUUAACAGCUGCCACUGUCUCUUCACGACAUGAUGGCUGACCUAGGUUGGAAGGAACAGAGCCAGUUGGCCAUGGACUGAAACUUUUGGAACUGAUUCUGAGGAGUUAAUGUUUCCAUGAAUAUCUCAGAAGGAGAUGUGGACAAACGAACAGUUAUCUCACUCCUGUAGGUUGGACUACAGUGAUCACUGAGUAGGAGCUUCGUCUUUAAAAUCUGGGGUGUGCUGUUAUGCAAUCUUCUUUCCCUGCCCAGUACUGGAUCUGUGAAAAGCUGAAUCAUGAAUCAGUGAGUGUGCGGAUUGGAACCCAAGUUGCUCUCUGGAUAGAACGAAAGGAGUCGUGCCCCAAGAAGAUGGAGAGGGAAGUUAUGAAAUGCUGUGACCAAAUAACAAAUGCUGAUGUUUGGGGAGAUAACUGUUUCCCAUAGGAAAUAGAGUGAAUGCGAUGUCUUUCUUUUGUGAGGGAUUCAUAGACCGCUUCUCAACGCUUGUUACAUGUUACUCCUUUUUUCGAGAUUUUUAUUUACCUAACUGGGAAAGAAACCAGAACAAGGUUUUCAUUGAAUUCUGAUACAGGUAUUUAAAGACUUACGGACAAGAUAUAGAAGAAGAAGUGGUAAUUAACUGAUUAAAGAAGUACAGUUUAUAUCCAGUAGACAGACAGGCUCCAGACAUCCUUAGUGCUGUCUUAGCAUCAAAGGUUAAUCUACCUAAUACUUGUCAUCCUGAAAUGCAUGGUGGAACAUCCAACAGACAAGAGCUACUUCAGGGAAGGACUAUGAUUUUUGUCGUGGAAGACAUUUAACACAGGGCAGCUCCUGUGCACUUACAUGAUAGAUAUUGCUCUUCCGGGGACUCUGAAUGCUCAUCCCACUUUCAGCUCACUAGGCACAUCGAACUAGAAAUUUUAUCAUCUCGUGAAUUAGUCCAAUACCUGAAGGAGCAAGAGAACCAACACCCAGUUGACAAGAAUAUGACCUGUUGAUUGAAGACCAUUAAGAAAGUAACUUGAUUCAGUUGGACUGGACUUUUUUAUUCUAUUGAAAAAGGAAUUUAUUUCCCCUCAGUGAACGUAACAUGAUCAACAUUUUGAAAGUUGUGAACAUGCAUAGUUCUAUAAUUUACAAAAUAAUUAUAAAAAUCUGAGUAUGGAUGCAGCAUAAUUUCAGAACAGAAUAGCCAUCAUACUUUUUAUAUAUCUUAAAUUCGAGUUUUCAAGAGUAUAUUUCUAUGUUAUAUCCUUUGAUUAGUACAAUAUAAAAUCUACAUCUAAUAUGUACUUCAGGUUUUAUUAGAUCAUGCCAUAUUACUGUACAAUUUGGACUUUUCCAUUUUUAUAUAAAAUGUAACAUGCAUUGUACAUUAAUAUUUAUAUAUCUUGUUUAUUUAUAUAUCUUUAGAAUUAAUUUCUGCCAAUUAUUUUCUUUAUUUGAAUACUUGGGGUAUCAUAAAGGUGCUGUUGAGGUAUUCUCAAUAUGCUUGUACAACUUCCUGCCUGUAGUUAAUAAAUGUGGAUAUUUCAUUAAACAAUUGAAA
rnacentral:lncRNA from 1 species